rnacentral:rRNA from 1 species
GAAUGUGGCUCUCUACGGGGAGUGUUAUAGCCUAUUGUAUAAUACCGCGCUGGGGACCGAGGUUCGCGCUUCUGCAAGGAUGCUGGCGUAAUGGUUAUCAAUCACCCGUCUUGAAACACG